rnacentral:rRNA from 1 species
GGGCCCGCACAAGCGGUGGAGCAUGUGGUUUAAUUCGAUGCAACGCGAAGAACCUUACCUACUCUUGACAUCCAGAGAACCUUUUAGAGAUAGAAGGGUGCCUUCGGGAACUCUGAGACAGGUGCUGCAUGGCUGUCGUCAGCUCGUGUUGUGAAAUGUUGGGUUAAGUCCCGCAACGAGCGCAACCCUUAUCCUUGUUUGCCAGCACUUCGGGUGGGAACUCCAGGGAGACUGCCGGUGAUAAACCGGAGGAAGGUGGGGACGACGUCAAGUCAUCAUGGCCCUUACGAGUAGGGCUACACACGUGCUACAAUGGCAUAUACAGAGGGCUGCCAACUCGCGAGAGUGAGCGAAUCCCAUAAACCGUGGCUCAGUUCAGAUCGUAGGCUGCAACUCGCCUACGUGAAGGCGGAAUCGCUAGUAAUCG